rnacentral:miRNA from 1 species
AAUUGUGUUGGCCAAAAAGCUCAUUCGGGUUUUUCCAUAAGAAGUUAUGAAGAAACCUGGAUGAACUUUUUGGCCAACCUAAU